AAAAUCGAGCGGGGNGAUGUAGCUUGCUACAUUACCUAGCGGCGGACGGGUGAGUAAUGCUUAGGAAUCUGCCUAUUAGUGGGGGACAACAUUCCGAAAGGGAUGCUAAUACCGCAUACGCCCUACGGGGGAAAGCAGGGGAUCUUCGGACCUUGCGCUAAUAGAUGAGCCUAAGUCAGAUUAGCUAGUUGGUGGGGUAAAGGCCUACCAAGGCGACGAUCUGUAGCGGGUCUGAGAGGAUGAUCCGCCACACUGGGACUGAGACACGGCCCAGACUCCUACGGGAGGCAGCAGUGGGGAAUAUUGGACAAUGGGCGAAAGCCUGAUCCAGCCAUGCCGCGUGUGUGAAGAAGGCCUUUUGGUUGUAAAGCACUUUAAGCGAGGAGGAGGCUACCUAGAUUAAUACUCUUGGAUAGUGGACGUUACUCGCAGAAUAAGCACCGGCUAACUCUGUGCCAGCAGCCGCGGUAAUACAGAGGGUGCGAGCGUUAAUCGGAUUUACUGGGCGUAAAGCGUGCGUAGGCGGCUUUUUAAGUCGGAUGUGAAAUCCCUGAGCUUAACUUAGGAAUUGCAUUCGAUACUGGGAAGCUAGAGUAUGGGAGAGGAUGGUAGAAUUCCAGGUGUAGCGGUGAAAUGCGUAGAGAUCUGGAGGAAUACCGAUGGCGAAGGCAGCCAUCUGGCCUAAUACUGACGCUGAGGUACGAAAGCAUGGGGAGCAAACAGGAUUAGAUACCCUGGUAGUCCAUGCCGUAAACGAUGUCUACUAGCCGUUGGGGCCUUUGAGGCUUUAGUGGCGCAGCUAACGCGAUAAGUAGACCGCCUGGGGAGUACGGUCGCAGACUAAACUCAAUUGA
rnacentral:rRNA from 1 species